rnacentral:rRNA from 1 species
GUGGGGAAUAUUGCACAAUGGGGGAAACCCUGAUGCAGCGACGCCGCGUGAGUGAAGAAGUAUUUCGGUAUGCAAAGCUCUAUCAGCAGGGAAGAAAGUGACGUUACCUGAAUAAGAAGCCCCGGAUAACUACGUGCCAGCAGCCGCGGUAAUACGGAGGGGGCAAGCGUUAUCCGGAUUUACUGGGUGUAAAGGGAGCGUAGACGGCAAUGCAAGUCUGAAGUGAAAGCCCGGUGCUUAACGCCGGGACUGCUUUGGAAACUGUUUGGCUGGAGUGCCGGAGAGGUAAGCGGAAUUCCUAGUGUAUAGGUGAAAUGCGUAGAUAUUAGGAAGAACACCAGUGGCGAAGGCGGCUUACUGGACGGUAACUGACGUUGAGGCUCGAAAGCGUGGGGAGCAAACAGGAUUAGAAACCCCGGUAGUCC